GUGCCUUCCCCCAGCGAGUCCGCUCAGGCGGGGCUCCUGGGGAAGCCAGAGGGUCCUGCACCCCAACUUCGCAGUCAGACGUGACUCUCAGCCAGCCAGUAAAACAGAAGGUUUAUUAGACGACAGGAACAUGGUCUAAAACAGAGCUUGCAGGUGCAGAGAACGGGACCCCUCAGCUGGGUCCAUUUUGGGGGGCAGUGAGCCAGACAACCAGGUCUGCACUUCACUCCAUGUCCCAGCCAGCCCCAAACUGAAACUCCCUCCAGCCCCUCCUCCUCUGGGCUUUGUUCCUUUCCCGGGCCAGGUGGUCACCUGAUUCCUUUGUUCUCGGACCCUUCAGCUCUCACCUUGCAGGGGGGGAAGGGCUCAGGCCAUCAGUUGCCAGGAAACAGGGUGUCGGCCAUUCUCUGUGUCCAGACUCCUGCACACACAUGCCCUCUAGAGCUCUGCAAUGAUCAUACACCCUUACUCCACCCCCUAGAUACUUAAGAACUGCCUGGGGGAAACUGAGGCACCCCCACACUAUUCAGAGGAAACAUUAAGAACAGUCCCACUUCGUCACAACUGGUUAGGAAGAGAUGGCAAUGGAGAGAGCUGUGAAAUGCAGCCGGCCUUGUGAGAGAGAGAAGGGGGCUGUGUGCUCAGGCCUUGUGGUGUCAGCAAACGAGUCUUGUCUAUUACCACGGCUUUGAUUCAUUGAGGAGGACGCUGGAGUAACCCGAUGUGAGGCAGCAGGGAGGGGGGAGUGUUGACCUGGGACUGUGCCCUGGGGAGGGGAGACCUGAGAGCCUGUCCCCUGAGCCGGGAGGGGGAGGUGACACCUCUGCCCGGGAAUGUGAACAGAGGCUGCAGGAGGGGGCCUGCUGGGGGGGUUUAGUUUCAGUUUGGGGCUGGGUGGAGGAACGCAGGGAACCCCAGGGCUGGGGUCUGAGCUCCCUGCUCCCCCAGAAGGACUUGACUGAGGGGUCCUGGGGGUACGCACAAGCUCUGUUUUGGACUGUGUUCCUGUGGUGCAAUAAACCUUCUGUUUUACUGGCUGGCUGAGAGUCUCAGGGAAUCCCAGGAAGAGGGGUGCAGGGCCUGGACUCCCCCACACUCCGUGACACCCGGGUCAUUGUCUGGUCCCUGGGAGGGUUGUGGUGGCCUGUGUCCAGACUGGUGAUGGGUAAGUGGCCCUGGGCUAAUUGCCAGCCUGUUUGGGAGAAGGGAAGUCAAGCCGGGUGUUUCCUCAGGCCUCGAGGCUGCUGGAAAUGUCUCCGGACCCUGGGACACGAUCCUUCCUCAGCGCAGGUCUGCCUUGGGGCUCAGGAGGGGAGACCCUGAGCCGUAAGGAUUGAGACCCCCAGCCGCUGACUGGAGUCGCCCUGAACGUGGACAUUGGGCUGUAACCUCUGGACUGUUUCCAAACGGACUGCUCCAGGCUCGUCUCUGCUGGACCUCAAGAAUUGAACUCAAGCCUGUCUGGGUAUCGAUCUUUUCUUUUUUAAUAAAUGUUAGUUUAGUUAGUAAGAAUUUGGGGUAAGAUCUAAGUUAUCAUUGGACCUGGGUGUGUGGCUGAUCCUUUGGGAUUGGGAGGACCUUCUCUUUUAUAUGAUGAGAGAAGAUUUU